CAGUCGCCGCGGUAAUACGUAGGGUGCAAGCGUUAAUCGGAAUUACUGGGCGUAAAGCGUGCGCAGGCGGUUUGUUAAGACAGAUGUGAAAUCCCCGGGCUCAACCUGGGAACUGCAUUUGUGACUGGCAAGCGAGAGUGUGGCAGAGGGGGGUGGAAUUCCGCGUGUAGCAGUGAAAUGCGUAGAUAUGCGGAGGAACACCGAUGGCGAAGGCAGCCCCCUGGGCCAACACUGACGCUCAUGCACGAAAGCGUGGGGAGCAAACAGGAUUAGAUACCCCUGUAGUCCCUGUCUCUUAUAC
rnacentral:rRNA from 1 species